GCGCUAUUAGCUCAGUUGGUAGAGCAGCUGACUCUUAAUCAGCGGGUCGAAGGUUCGAGUCCUUCAUGGCGCACCA
rnacentral:tRNA from 1 species